rnacentral:rRNA from 1 species
CCUACGGGGGGCAGCAGUGGGGAAUAUUGGACAAUGGGGGCAACCCUGAUCCAGCCAUGCCGCGUGUGUGAAGAAGGCCCUCGGGUUGUAAAGCACUUUCAGUGAGGAAGAACGCCUGGUGGUUAAUACCCAUCAGGAAAGACAUCACUCACAGAAGAAGCACCGGCUAACUCCGUGCCAGCAGCCGCGGUAAUACGGAGGGGGCGAGCGUUAAUCGGAAUUACUGGGCGUAAAGCGCGCGUAGGUGGCUUGAUAAGCCGGUUGUGAAAGCCCCGGGCUCAACCUGGGAACGGCAUCCGGAACUGUCAAGCUAGAGUGCAGGAGAGGAAGGUAGAAUUCCCGGUGUAGCGGUGAAAUGCGUAGAGAUCGGGAGGAAUACCAGUGGCGAAGGCGGCCUUCUGGACUGACACUGACACUGAGGUGCGAAAGCGUGGGUAGCAAACAGGAUUAGAUACCCCUGUAGUC